CCUGCCCCUAGAGGAAUUGUAGGUGUGUCUGCUGUGUCACAUGUGCAUCAGUAGGUGGCAGAGAAGAGAGGCUAUGUCUCUUCUUCAAUCAGUGUUCUGACCUGUGAACAUCUGAAUGAUGAGUAGCCUAACACU